rnacentral:rRNA from 1 species
UACGGGGGGGGCAAGCGUUGUUCGGAAUUACUGGGCGUAAGGGGCUCGUAGGCGGCCAACUAAGUCAGACGUGAAAUCCCUCGGCUUAACCGGGGAACUGCGUCUGAUACUGGAUGGCUUGAGUUUGGGAGAGGGAUGCGGAAUUCCAGGUGUAGCGGUGAAAUGCGUAGAUAUCUGGAGGAACACCGGUGGCGAAGGCGGCAUCCUGGACCAACACUGACGCUGAUGAGCGAAAGCCAGGGGAGCAAACGGG